CCCCUAAGCUAAGCAGCUGAAAGCUCGUCCCAAAUACACAUACAUAGCCCACACUGAAAGUUAAAUGGAUCCAGACCAGCUAAUUACUCUCCUUCUUAAAACAGCGUCGUUUUGGGAAGCUCUAUGUCGUCCUCCUACAGCGACCAAUAACAAGAGUAAAAGUGCCAUAGGGAGACCCAAGCUCUGGCUGCACCCAUACCAGAAGUGUGAUGGUGACAAGUCGAAUGUGGCGACGAAGAUGUUGAGAUUGCAAUUUGAUGCUGCGAGAUGAGACGGAAAAAAGGAAAGUGGGAGCUUCCAAGCGACUCUGAAUGGCGUUGACCAAGGCUUACAAGAAAAGGGGACCUAGGUGGCAAGAUAGUAUUGGAAGAGGCAUCGAUCGAAGAGUCUAACAAAAGGCAAAAGGGCAAAAGGAAGAAGUGAAGGCUUUCAUUUCUAGUUUUUGCGUUGCGUGCCACCUGCAACGCAAAAACAGAGGUUAGUAAGGUGCCAGAGAAAGAAAGGGCGAAGGCAGUGGCUUGUUGACCCAAAAGUGUGAAGGAGCUUCAGGAUCAAGGAUGGCGAGGAAGCAGAGUGAAUUGGUGAAGGGAUGAGGGACUUUCAAGAGAGAGUAAUCGUUAAAAUGAGGGAGAGAGGGGAAACAAAUUUGUGUUUUGCGGUUUCUUGUAGGAGGAAGACAUGGAGAAUUUUCAGGUUUUAGGAAGAGAGACAGCAUUCUGAGAGAAAUGAAGAGAUAAGAGUAGAGGAGAUUUGGAGCUUCAGGAUUCCGGUAGAAGGCUUCAAGAGGGGCCAAAUGCUUUGAGAAGAAGAAAAAAAAAACAAAAAGGUUUGGAAAGAGGGGAAAACUUUGAUUAUUGAGAAGACAGAAGGGUGACAGAAUACGAUUACCAGGAUAUUGCUGUAUGCUCUAAAGUUGAAAGGGAAAGGAAAUGAACAAAAGGUUGUCUCUAUUGAAAGCACCAUGAGAUCUGAUUUCGACCGAAGAAGUAUUUGGGAGUUCUUGAAGAAGAUUGUGAUAAGAUGAGGGAUUAGAGUGUUGUAUCCUUUGAUCUUGUAUCUUAAUGUCCCCCCACCGCAUUGCAUUCAUAGAUCUUAUAAUUAUUGAUGAAUGAAUAUCACAAUCACACGGUAGCACAACAAUUAAGUCAAUAGCUACGCAUGCAAAACACAUUUAGUUAGUCUCUAUCACGUAGUAGAUGUCUUACACCUUCUUAACUUGUACCACUUUGAACUUUGAAUCUAUGAUUUUGGCUAAUUAUAUGUUGUUUCUAGUAUUUAAUUCUGUUUCCAAUAAAACUGAUAGCGAUUUCUAAAA